rnacentral:tRNA from 1 species
GAAAAUCUAAUUAAUAUAUAAUAUUAACUUGUCAAGUUAAAAUAACCACUAAGGUGAUUUUCU